AUUGAACGCUGGCGGCAGGCCUAACACAUGCAAGUCGAGCGAGCGGCGCACGGGUGAGUAAUGUCUGGGAAAAUGCCUGAUGGAGGGGGAUAACUACUGGAAAAGGUAGCUAAUACCGCAUACCAUCAGAUGUGCCCAGAUGGGAUUAGCUAGGAGGUGGGGUAACGGCGCCCAUGGGCGAGGAUCCCGCGCUGGUCUGAGAGGAUGACCAGCCACACUGGAACUGAGACACGGUCCAGACUCCUACGGGAGGAAGCGGGGGGGAAUAUUGCACAAGGGGGGCAAGCCUGAUGCAGCAAUGCCGCGGGGGUGAAGAAGGCCUUCGGGUUGUAAAGCACGUUCAGCGGGGAGGCGUUACCCGCAGAAGAAGCACCGGCUAACUCCGUGCCAGCAGCCGCGGUAAUUC
rnacentral:rRNA from 1 species